CCUGGAAGAAAAAUAAUAAUGAAGUAAUAAAAUGCUAACUGUGUUUUCUUCAACAACACUGAGUUACAGACUUUUAUUGAAUUAUGAUAAAUGUUUAUAGGUGAUCAUGUUACUAUUGCAUCAGAAACAUCUAAACCAGCUCUGUGUGAUAAUUCAGUGGUGUGUGAACCAACACUGCAUGGAAACAACACUAACAUGAACACACACGAGAAAACAGGUAAGAUGUUAUACAAGUCACCAUGAAUGAAUUAUCGUAAAUCCAUAAUGCAUAAUUCACCUGAAAAUAAUUUGCACUAAUGUAAAUGUAACGUGGUGAAAUAACAGUAUCAGAAAUGAUCAGAUCUCUACGUUCGACAGUGCUCGGUUUGGGAACGGCUUUGGGCUUGUGCGCACUUCUGAUUUUCUGUCUCAUUUAUUUCAUACUGAGGAGAAGAAAAAAUGAAAUCUGUAGAUUGAAUGCUUCUAUAGAGAACUGUCCAGAAAUGACACAGGAAUCUGAAACCGAAACACUAAAUUAUGCAGCUUUGCAAUUCUCCAAGAGGAAAGCAAAAGUUGAAAAAAAGAAAACUGGCUCAUCAGAUGCAUGUGUGUACUCGGUUGUGAAGAAAACUGUAAUGUAAUGGUAAUGAUAAUGAGUCGUUAUUGGUCACAGCACUGAAAUUUCUUUCUUCGCAUAGUCCAGCAUGACAGGAAGUUGGGCUCAGGGCAUUUAUGUAACAUAAAUUAUUCAUAAUACAUGGUACUAUUACACUACAAAAACAGGAAAAAUGUUUUAUCAAGUGGAAAUAUUUUGAUUAUAGUUUUAAUUUUCCAUACUUAUCAUUAUGAGAUUAUAAUAACUAAAAUAUUAUUAAAGCAAAACAUUUGCUAUUUUUUUUUUUUUUUUUUUAAAUUUUUGCUAAUUUAUUUUGUGGCCUUAUUUGUAUGACUCACUCUUGCUGAAGACGUGUAAAUGCAUUUUCAUUAAAAAUGUAUUUAAAAAAAUGUUUCUUAAAUAUUCUGAAAAUUCUGACACUAAAAUAAUGCAUUAUUAAUGUGUUUUUCACAAAGGUUGUGGGUUGGGCUUAAACACAAGUCAAGGACUGUGACUUCAAAGACAUUUUACAUUACUCAAAGUGAAUCAUCAAACAGACUUUAUCAAGCAUGUUUUUAGUUGCUUUCUCACUACGAGUGAGAAUAUACUGUAUUAUAUCAUGCAUUUAUUUUACCAUUAGGUUGUCAUAAACAAAUUUGACCAAGUGUAGGCUUUCAAAGAAAGUUUAUGCACGAAACAUAAUAAGUUUAGUGUGUGCAAAGCUAUUCCAUGCAACUUCAAUAACGUUGAUGCAACCUCA